CCGGAACCACAGGUUGUAAGACAGGGCGGCCACACUCAAGGCCAGGUCCCUGGGUGGAAGAAAGGGCAGGGGCAGAGCUCAGGGCCCUCCAGCCAGAUCCUAGGCCCAGCAUCCCCCCUCCAUGGAGAGGCUAAGGCCCAGGAAUGUGGGUCAUGGCAUCCUCUUCUCUUCACAGACCUUGCAGGCCACUCACCGACUUCCCAGAUGGCUGAAGUCGCCUAGGCUGAAAUGGCGGCAGCCCUGACGAUGCGCCAUGGCCUGGACCUCCAGGUAGCUGAACGUGCAGUCCACCUGCGGAGCGCCUGGGUCAGCCUGGACUAAGGCCUGAGCCCCACCCUCUUGGGAACCCAGUCCUUUGUGCAGCCUGGAUCUCAGAGCUGGACCUGCCUACACUCCAGUCCUGCCUGCUCCCGGGAGCCCAGGGCUGUUGGAAGGGCAGAGCCCGCAAGGACACCACCACAGAUGCAGCCCUCAUCAAGGAAGCUGCUGGAGGGCAAAGGGGUGGCAGCUGGGCCCUGGGACUCACCCUCAGGGGAAGGCAGGUGUGGAGCAGGUAGGCUCUCCAUCGCAGCAGUGCCUGAGGGGAGAGAGUGUCUGACACCCUGGGCAGGGCAAGAGCCUCUUUCUGCCGGGGCCCCAGUGGCCCUCCCAGCCUCUGCCCCCACCAUACCAGGACAUGACCUUGCUCAGCACCCUCCCGCUCUGGCAGCCAGGUUUUCAGCAGCAGCUCUGCCUCCUUGGGCCACAGGAAUCUGGUGAUCUCGCCUGUGGAAGGGCAGCCUGCUGGGCAACUGGUCCUCCCAUGGAGGUCAAUUCAUGCCCACGGUCUGUAUCGGGCUAGGGGGCCUGGGCUCAUCUGUGGGCCAGCGAGGAAGGAGUGGAGUGGAUUUCGGCCGCCAAGCCCUCCCGAGGAGCAGAGGGAACCGCUUGCCCGGUGCCACGAGGCACUGGGUGGGCCUCUGCUUUCUGGGGCCGCUCCGCUUCCUCCCAGCCAAGAAGGCGACAAGGGCCAAGGCUUACCUCGCAGCUCGCAGGAUAUGCCGUCGGGGGUCUGGGCCAUGCGGCCGGCCCGGCGGCCGGGUGGCCCAAGGAGCUCCGACGAGAAACGGUAGCGGCGGGUGAGCACAGGAAGCCUGGGGCCUCGGCGCGCACUGCAGCCACCUGCUCCUCCUGCAGCGGAAGUCCCCGCCGCGAGCACCAGGGGGCGCUGCCCGCUCGGAGAUCUCUGCGGCCCGCCUCGGUCCGUCCCCUCCAAAGCCCAGCGGGGAAGAUGGACAGCACUUAGGACGCAAGGGGCGUCUGUUCAGAAAGGAGCAUCGGAUCCCUCCUAAACCUGGAGGGCCCUAUCUGUUGUUCCUAACCUGGAGUCCCUCAACCCGUCGGAGAGUCACAAACUGUUGACAGGGUGGAAAAAACACCAGAUGGGCCCCACAGCCUUCUCUGCGGCAGAGGUUCCUUAGCUUUCAUCAAGUUCAAGCUGGGUCAGGGCCAGAAGAUGGGGGUGUACCAUCAGGGGGCAGCCAGCCCCAAGGGCUGCAGGGAGGGGUGGAGUGACUCAUGAGCAAGGCAAUGUAUGUGUGUGUGGGGUCCUCUCAUGUCUGCAUUCUCCCUGAGCUGGAGAGAGUUUGAGGAGGGGGGAACCACUAGGAGAGAGGCCAAGGAGGCCAUCAGGUCAUGGGAUGCAUGAUACCCUAUAAAACACCAGGGACCUAGGGACUUCCCUGGUGGUGCAGUGGUUAAGACUCUGCGCUCCCAAUGCAGCGGGCCCGGGUGCAACCCCGGGUCAGGGAACUAGAUCCCACGUACAUGCCACAACCAAGGAGCCCGCCUGCUGUAACCAAGACCUGG